UGUUAUAUGAAUAAAAGAAUAAGGAUGAUAUGAAUGAUCAUUAUUCCCCAAACGCUCCCUUAACCCACCCAAACCCCGCCGGAAAUCCAAAUCCCCCAAUCGUUGUUAUUCCGAAGAUAUUUUUCCUUUGAUUCAUGUGCUUCUUCUUGUUUUAAUUUGGAGAGCCCUAAAAUCCCUUGCGAUUUGAUUCGAAAAGAUUGCGAUUUGCGAAGUAAAGGGUGGGUUAUAGGGGUAAGGGUAAGGGUGAAGGGUAAACUCUGCUUUCUCAACAAAAACAAAAGGAGAAAAAUAUCUAGGUCGAGAAAAAAUGGUGGUUUCCGAUGCUCCCAACGGCGGUGGCUCUUCGUCUCCGCCACUGGUGGUGGAGCAAACCAACACGCUUGGGAUCACGAAGCCUAUCUCUCUCGCCGGUCCCACCGACGCCGAUUUACAUCGGAACGCCGAAUUGGAGAAGUUUCUGCUUGAUUCGGGACUCUACGAGAGCAAUGAAGAAGCUGCCACCAGGAGAGAGGUUCUUCAGCGCCUUGAUCAGACUGUUAAAAGUUGGGUGAAGCAGUUGACGCGUCAACGAGGCUAUACGGAUCAGAUGGUUGAGGAUGCCAAUGCCGUUAUUUUCACUUUCGGUUCUUAUCGACUAGGGGUACAUGGACCAGGAGCUGACAUAGACACUUUGUGUGUUGGCCCUUCUUAUGUGAAUCGGGAGGAAGACUUCUUUAUCAUUCUGCAUAAUAUCUUGGCUGAAAUGGAAGAAGUUACUGAACUUCAACCAGUUCCAGAUGCUCAUGUCCCCGUAAUGAAAUUCAAGUUCCAGGGAAUAUCUAUAGAUUUGCUUUAUGCAAGUAUAUCUCUUUUGGUUGUGCCUGAAGACCUGGACAUCUCACAUGGCUCAGUGCUGUAUGAUGUUGAUGAACCUACUGUUCGAAGUCUUAAUGGCUGCCGGGUGGCAGAUCAAAUUCUUAAACUUGUUCCAAAUGUUGAGCACUUCCGAACCACACUGAGAUGUUUAAAGUUUUGGGCUAAAAGGCGUGGUGUUUAUUCAAAUGUUACGGGAUUCCUUGGAGGCGUGAAUUGGGCUCUAUUAGUUGCUCGAAUUUGCCAGCUUUACCCUAAUGCAAUCCCUAGUAUGCUGGUUUCUCGAUUCUUUAGGGUAUAUACACAGUGGAGGUGGCCAAACCCUGUCAUGCUGUGCACAAUAGAGGAAAAUGAACUGGGUUUCCCAGUUUGGGAUCCUCGUAGAAACCCGCGGGACAGAUAUCACAUUAUGCCAAUUAUUACUCCUGCAUACCCUUGCAUGAAUUCCAGCUACAAUGUCUCCGCAAGCACUCUUCGUGUUAUGAAGGAACAGUUUCGCUAUGGCAACAAGAUUUGUGAUGAAAUUGAGCUCAGUAAAGCCCAAUGGAGUGCACUUUUUCAGCCAUAUUUCUUUUUCGAAGCCUACAAAAACUAUUUACAAGUGGACAUCCUUGCAGCAGACACUGAUGACUUGUUAGCAUGGAAAGGUUGGGUAGAAUCUCGAUUGAGGCAGCUCACCCUGAAGAUAGAGCGGGAUACAAAUGGGAUGUUGCAGUGUCAUCCUUACCCACAUGAGUAUGCAGACACAUCCAGACAUUGUGCUCAUUCUGCAUUUUUCAUGGGCUUGCAAAGAAAAGAGGGAGAAAAAGGUCAAGAGGGACAACAAUUUGAUAUACGUGGAACGGUUGAUGAAUUCAGGCAAGAAAUAAAUAUGUAUAUGUACUGGAAGCCAGGGAUGGAAAUUUUUGUUUCCCAUGUACGUCGAAAGCAGCUCCCUUUAUUUGUAUUUCCAGAUGGUUACAAACGCAAUCGGAUGUCAAGGCACAUAAGCCAUUCAGCUGAAAAAAUGGGUGAGGAUGCCGCAAAGCCCAACCUAGGGUCUUCUGAAAGAAGUGUCAAGAGGAAAAAUGACCAUGAAAUGUUGGAUGAGAAGCUAGGCAAACCAGAGAAGAGGGCCUCUAUCAGCCCACAGAGGCUAGUGUGCGUCUCUCCAGAAAGUUGUUCAUCUCAAAUGAGUAUUGAUGGUACCAAAGGGGUUAGGUUAGCCAAGAAUGCUGGCACCAAAUGCGAAAUUAAGUCAUCUAAUGGACUCCUAGAAAAUGGAAUAAGUACCGAAGGAGCUUACGUGCAUAUUAGUGAAACAGGUGGUGUUCAUCCCAAAAAUGAUAGUCAGAACUCAAGGUGUUCAGAAGUUCAGAAUGAGAAUGGAGUUGAUAGGAACAAAGCUGGGGAAAUGGAUCUGGAUUGCUUGGAAAGUGCAGAAACUGCAUCUUCCAAAAGCUUGUCAAACUGUAAAGAGAGUGCUGUUGAUAUGGAUCAACAACUAGACAAUACUCAUAAUUUCCAAAGAACUGAAUAUUCAGAUUAUGUACCAACUGCGAGCUCCCAGGCCCUCAAUUGCGAGGGUGAUGAUGAUUGUGUGGCACAUCCAGAUCAGUUCUGAGGAGUGGGUGUUUUCAUGGAAAUAGAGUAUUUCAAAAUAUCAUGACCAAAUUGAAGGUCCUGCACCACUAUACGUGCUAUGUAUCCAGUAACUGCUUAAGUACCUGAGUUGUUUUGUGUAUAGAGACUCCCAGAGACCGGACUUUACCUUUUUUUUUUCCUGUUGAAAUUAUAGUUUUACAGCCAAGUUUAAUGCCUUAUUUGAUUACUAAUCAUUGAUGCACUCUAUUCUCUAUAUUGUGUAUAGCGAGAUGUCAGACUUGGAAGUGUUGUAUAAAUUCAAGAAGGGGCUAGGUCAGAAUCUUUGCAGAAGCUAGUAAAAGGCAUGCUUUUUCAACUCAUUCCAAUGUGAAUAAGAAUGUGUUUAUACUGUUCUGUUUGGUUCUGUUUUUUUCUUUUGUAGGAAGAUGAGUUUGAAUUGAAUCACAUGACAUUUGGGAGGUGAAUUGCUGAAAUUAUUCAUAAUGCUAUACCUUGUAUAACUGUGCUGGGGAUGUUGCUGUGCUGAGAUAAUUUGAAUGGGACUGACGCUGUUUUGGACCCUCGAGUCAGCUUGAAAAGAAAUGAUGAAAGGAGAAACAGAUUGGGGUUUGGGGGAUGGCACUGUGUUGAUCGUUUAUGUACAUAGAUGAAGAGCAUGAUGGAGAUGCCUAAAACGGUCACAUCCUGUUGUCUGUGAAACAUGGUCUAAACUCAUAUUCAGAGCUCUCAAUGUCUCAAAAAUCCUUUUUAACAUAUUUACCUACUUUGAUUUUUAAGGAGUUGGAACUAUGUUGUUUUGCUUUGCGAUGUGGUUGAUACAUCGUGUAAAUGUAGUUUAGUAGUUUAUUUUGGGUAGGUGGUUAAGAAGAGAAAAUGCUAAGAAAAAUGCUUGGCGGAAGAUUAGAAAUUGGGGUGGAUAAAUCUGUUGAUGAGUUUCUUUGGUUUUUACAAUUUAGUGAACUAGGCUUGUGAAAAUUUGUAUCUCUCAUCAUUAGUGCUUCUAAACAUUUCGUUUCUGAGUACUUUAUUGUUCAUUUGAUGAUUCUGAAGCCUAGUAUAGGUCUUAAAACGAUACAUUUUGAAUGAGAUCCACUAAAUCAACCUUGCCAAUCGUAUUUACGGAAUAAAGCUGAAUGUAAACAUUAAUAAACUUGACGAUUAUAAUAUACAUUACAUUUUAUGUC